GACGAACGCUGGCGGCGUGCUUAACACAUGCAAGUCGAACGGAAAGGCCCUGCUUUUGUGGGGUGCUCGAGUGGCUAACGGGUGAGUAACACGUGAGUAACCUGCCCUUUACUUUGGGAUAACUUCAGUAAACUGGGGCUAAUACCGGAUAGUAGCUCCUGCUGCAUGGUGGGGGUUGGAAAGUUUCGGCGGUUGGGGAUGGACUCGCGGCUUAUCAGCUUGUUGGUGGGGUAGUGGCUUACCAAGGCUUUGACGGGUAGCCGGCCUGAGAGGGUGACCGGCCACAUUGGGAAUGAGAUACGGCCCAGACUCCUACGGGAGGCAGCAGUGGGGAAUAUUGCACAAUGGGCGGAAGCCUGAUGCAGCAACGCCGCGUGCGGGAUGACGGCCUUCGGGUUGUAAACCGCUUUCGCCUGUGACGAAGCGUGAGUGACGGUAAUGGGUAAAGAAGCACCGGCUAACUACGUG
rnacentral:rRNA from 1 species